AAACAGAGGCUUCAUGUAGGCAGAGCAGAGAGAGAAGGAGGAAGUUGAGUCUCUUCUGGCAAAACCUAGAUUUAAAGAGGAGCAGCAAAAGCUCGUCAGGUCGGUUUUUGUUGCUGAGCCCUGGCUCUCAAAGUUUGUUUUUUGCAGUGUUUCCUCAACAAUGACAAUAAGCCUGCCUUCCCCUGUUGCACAUGAGAAAAUAUGAUUGCUUUCUUUUCUUAAUUAUUUUGUUGUGCUUUGCAUGUUUGGAUUGUUUUUGUUUUUCCCUUUAACAGCCCAAACGCACUGGAUAGAAAGGCGGCCGUUUAAGGAGGCGGAAACCCUCCUGCUCAGCUGUCAACAGAGGCUGAUUGAAGCCAGAAUAAAAGGAGCCCGGAUGGGAGGAGAAGAAGAGGACUGAUCCUGCAAGCCACAAAGACUGAUGCGCUGCCGAUCAAGGGGCAGACGGAAUCUCCACGCAAGGCGCAGAGCACAGAGAAGUGAACUGACGGUCCAGUGCAGAGGAUGGCCCCUGGUUCGGUCUGAAAUGGGCGCGGCACGCCGAAGAGCAGAACAGUGCUGUAGCGUCGCAGAGUCAGCUGGGGAUCGGCAAACGGGCACAUUACAGGCGGAUCGCUUUCACCUGGAGCAGAGUGACAAGUGGAGCCCAACUGGUGGCCUCAGAUUGGUGACUUUCUUUUCAGGACAGUUAUUKAACCUUGGAUUGUUAAAAAGAACAGGACUGUUUUUAUUCUGUCACUAUGGAAAGUGACUUUUUUUGUAAUAAAACAUUUUAAAUGUGA